AACGUAGGACGCAAGCGUUAUCCGGAGUUACUGGGCGUAAAGCGCGGGCAGGCGGCCUGGGAAGUCUGAUGUGAAAGCGCACGGCUCAACCGAGCGAGGCCAUUGGAAACUUUCAGGCUGGAGGGCAGUAGAGGUAGGCGGAAUUCCGGGUGGAGUGGUGAAAUGCGUAGAGAUCCGGAGGAACACCAGAGGCGAAGGCGGCCUACUGGGCUGCACCUGACGCUGAGCCGCGAAAGCCAGGGGAGCGAACGGG
rnacentral:ncRNA from 2 species